rnacentral:lncRNA from 1 species
UGUGUUCUCAGCUUGAACCGCCAUAUUGGUGAUCUUGGAGAUUCCAUCUCUCUGGGUUUGCAUUUAUCCAUGUGUAUUUUCAGUGGUGACUCUACGGACACAUGAAUAUGAUGAAUUCAGGACAGACCAGGUUAUAUUGCGAUAACA